AUGGACGACAGCGCCAUUGGCGAGAAGCGCCUGCUGGAGCCGGAGGAUCGGGAAAGCCCGGGCGGAGUCGCCGAGGAGGAGGUGGGGGGCGCGCAGGUCGGUGCCGAACCGGCGCCCGUUGCGGCCGCCGCGGAGGUGGGCGGUAGCGGCGAGAUCUUGGAUGCCAGAGAAGGGGACGCGGCCGAGGCGGUUGUGCAGGCGCAGGAGGGUGGCGGCGGUGAGGUUGUGGAGGUCAGACAAAGGGACGUGGGUGUCGAGGAGGUGGUGUCCGAUGUGGCCUGGGCUGAGGCGACCAUGGAUCCAUCGGCAGGCUAUGAUCAACAGGCUGCUCGGAACGGGCCGCCGACGGCGGUGGAGUCCGACGAGGAUGCUGAUCUGUUUGUGGAGGUGGAGCAGCAGGAGCUGGCUGGUUCAGAUCAGAGCGAGGAGUUUUUUCACAAUGCACAGGCUUCGGUGACCGGAGAAUCUGUCGCUGCUGAGUGCGAGGCAAUUGAGGAUUACAGGCCUGCCGAGAUUGGUGUCGAGGAUGAUGCGCACGACGAGCAUCGGGAGCGCUUAGAGGAGGAAGCCAUGUUGGAAGCCAUCAGGCUGUGUGUGACAGAUGCUGUUUUGGCUGAACAUCUCGAUGAGGAACCUGAGAAGGGCAGGGAAGAUGUUCCUGCCUGUGAUAUCAAUCCUGAGCUCCCCAUGAACUCUAGUGAACCUGAACAGGUUCAAGAAGCUAUGUUGGUUGAUCAGAGCAAAGAGCAGCCAGAAUAUAGCAAGGGAGAUACUGCUGCCCAUGAUAGCAAGCUUGAGGUCCCUACACAAUCUGGAGGCGAGCCUGAUGUGGUGGUCGAGGAAUUGGAUGAUUCAAACUCCUCUGGUGAUGAGAAUAAGGCUAGCUCUGCUCCUGCACGAUCCUCUAGUGCUGCAGCAGGUCAGGCUAAUGGCCCCUCUUUGCUGGCUCGUCCUGCUGGCCUUGGAGCAUCCUCUUCCUUGUUGCCUCCGGCCCGACCUGUUCAGCAGGUCCGUGCUAAUGGUCCAGUCGCUGUGGACAGGGACACUCGGCAGGAUACUGAAUCUGCUGGGGAUGAUGGAGAUGAGAAUGAUGAAAUCCGGGAGAAGCUCCAGAUGAUCCGGGUUAAGUUUCUGCGUCUUGCUAACAGGUUUGGGCAAACGCCUCACAAUAUGGUGGUCUCGCAGGUUCUUUACCGGCUCGGGCUGGCAGAACAGAUUAGAAGAAACGGUCGUGGUGUUUUUAACUUUGGCCGAGCACAAGAGAUAGCAGAACGGCUUGAAGCUGCUGGAAAUGAGCCCCUUGAUUUGUCAUGCACCAUACUGGUUCUUGGUAAAACUGGGGUUGGCAAGAGUGCUACUAUAAAUUCAAUUUUCGAUGAUGUCAAGCUAGAGACUGAUGCUUUUGAAUCCAGCACCAGAAAAGUUCAAGAAGUAGUUGGUAUGGUUGAGGGAAUCCAAGUAAAAGUGAUUGAUACACCUGGCCUUUCAUCCUCAUCUUCAGACCAGCAGUACAACCAGAAAGUUCUCAAUUCUGUGAAGAAAAUUGUGAGCAAAAAUCCUCCUGAUAUUGUUCUUUAUUUUGACCGACUGGAUCUGCAGAGUAGGGACUAUGGUGAUGUACCUCUGUUGCAGACCAUUAGCAAAGUUUUUGGAGCCUCGGUCUGGUUCAAUGCUAUAGUAGUGUUAACUCAUGCUGCAUCUGCACCACCAGAUGGACCAAAUGGAAUUCCUCUGAGUUAUGAGAUGUUUGUCACCCAGAGGUCCCAUGUAGUCCAGCAAGCUAUAAGGCAGGCGGCUGCUGAUGUUCGUCUUAUGAAUCCAGUCGCUCUGGUGGAAAACCACUCAGCUUGCAGGACAAAUAGGUCAGGCCAGAGAGUGUUGCCAAAUGGACAAGUCUGGAAGCCACAGUUGCUAUUGCUCUGCUUUGCGUCAAAGGUUUUAGCAGAGGCUAAUUCGUUUCUCAAGUUGCAGGAUAGCCCCGCUGGUAAAACUUCUAGCACGAGGGUUGCUCCACUUCCUUUUCUCCUCUCUUCACUUCUUCAGUCUCGAGCUCCGCUGAAGUUGCCCGAGGAGCAGUUUGGCGAUGAUGAUGAUCUUGAAGAUGAUUUGGCAGAUGAUUGUGAUUCAGAUGAUGGUUCAGACUAUGAUGACCUGCCUCCUUUUAAGCGCCUCACUAAGGCUCAACUUUCAAAACUCAACCAUGCGCAGAGGAAGGCAUAUCUUGAGGAACUAGACUACAGAGAGAAACUAUUCUACAAAAAACAGCUGAAAGAGGAACAUAUGCGUCGUAAAAUGAUGAAGAAGAUGGCAGCAGAGGCCAGGGCCAGAGAAGAUGAUUAUGGUAACAGCAAUGUUGAUGACGAUGGCAGUACUCCGACCAAUGUUGCUGUGCCUAUGCCUGACAUGGUAUUGCCCUCGACUUUUGAUUCUGACUAUCCUAGCCAUCGCUACCGUUUUCUGGAUACGCCAAGUGAAUGGCUUGUGAGACCUGUGCUGGAGACCCAGGGAUGGGAUCAUGAUGUGGGUUAUGAAGGUCUAAACGUUGAGAGAUUAUUCGCUGUCAAAGGUAAAGUGCCUCUGUCUGUGUCUGGCCAGCUAACAAAAGACAAGAAGGACAGCUCCCUCCAAAUGGAGGUUGCAAGUUCUGUUAAGCACGGCGAGGGUAAAACUUCUUCAGUGGGGCUUGAUUUGCAGUCUGUUGGCAAGGACAUGGCAUACACAAUUCGUGGUGAGUCGAGAUUCAAGAACUUCAGGCGCAAUAACACGGCUGCUGGGAUAUCUGCGACGCUCCUUGGGGAUACCUUAUCAGCUGGUGUGAAGAUUGAAGACAGACUGAUAGUGAACAAGCAGCUGAGGCUUCUAGUAAGUGGUGGGACUAUGAGCGGGAAAGGAGACGCUGCGUACGGCGGACGUCUGGAGGCUACAUUGAGAGACAAAGACUACCCGAUUGGGCGCAUGCUUUCUACCCUCGCUAUCUCCGUCGUGGACUGGCACGGGGAUCUCGCCGUCGGGUGCAAUGCCCAGUCUCAGAUCCCUGCUGGAAGGUCUAGCAACGUGAUUGCCAGUCUGAAUGUGAGCAACAAGGGGACCGGGCAAGUCGGCAUCCGCCUGAACAGCUCCGAGCACCUGCAGAUCGCUCUCCUCGCCCUCGUGCCUAUAUUCAAGAACGUCAGGAAGUUGCUGGACAACUACUAUGAAUCUGCCUAG
rnacentral:rRNA from 1 species